rnacentral:rRNA from 1 species
UACGGAGGGUGCGAGCGUUGUCCGGAAUCAUUGGGCGUAAAGGGCGCGUAGGUGGCGGGACAAGCGUGCGGUGAAAGCCUGGGGCUCAACCCCGGGUCGGUCGUGCGAACUGUUUUGCUUGAGCACUGUAGAGGCAGGCGGAAUUCCGGGUGUAGCGGUGGAAUGCGUAGAGAUCCGGAAGAACACCGGUGGCGAAGGCGGCCUGCUGGGCAGUAGCUGACACUGAGGCGCGACAGCGUGGGGAGCAAACAGG